ACGUCAUCAAGUUCCAUCCCUAAAACACGUCAUCAAGUUCCAUCCCUAAAACGUCAUCAAGUUUCACCCCUAAAGCGUCAUCAAGUUUCAUCCCCCACAACACGUCAUUCACCUUUCUGGACCAGGGUUUGAAGGAACGUGAACCAGUGACAUGUAUGGUGGCUCCCUGGACUAAACCAUAACACGAAGAUUUACUCAUUUAACCCGUAUCUAAUAAUAGUUUAGACAAUAGAAAUAAUCUGUUACUCCACCAAUAUUUGCUGUUGGUGUAUUUGUCUCCUAUAAGUCUGCACAGUAAAGACAAACCCACUGAAGGCCGUAACUGUGACCCCCGGGAGGUCCUACAGUUGCGUGGCACUGUUUGGGAAGUGCCAGUGUCAGGACGUCUUGAGGUUGUCACGCUUCUCCUCGACCUAUAUAAGACCAGUGGCAGACGCCCGCUGGCCACUCAGGUCACGUCUGCCCUAGGCAACAGUGGUCCUGUGUUACUCUCUCGCCCUCCUGCACCUACAGUAGUGUGUGUGGGUCUUGGUCACUGCCGCCCCCAACACCUGUGGAAACGUUUGCCUGAACAGUACAACAAGUGCCUUCAUAGUGUCUAGAUCGGCGACAGAAAUCAAACAAGACGCUGCUUUAUUUAAUCAACAAAAGUGAACAAUCUUUAUUUUGUCUUAAUCCACAAACAUUAUCAGCAACAUUUGGACCAAUAAGAGAACACCAAACCUUACAGUACAAGUGGUAAAGUACCACAGUGAAACAGGACCGUCAAGUAACUCUCCUUUACGUGAGUCAAGAGCCACAACAAGUCAUCAUCAACAAGGAGAGUCGCUACAGUACAGUGACAUCACAUAAAUAUUUUUCGUGGAUACAGAAACCUUCAAAGUAUUUAAUAUUUAUAUAUUUUUAUACGCUAUUUAUAUAAACAUAGGCACAAGAGAUCGGCGGACAUUACUACGUACGCAUGACCUUGGCGAGCAACUGUUGCGACAGUUUAGUCUAAAUUCCUGCAAGGUGUGUUGCUCCCCCCCCCCUCCCUGGAUCGUCCGUUCAUCCAGCCGGCAAAACACUCACGCACCUCCCUCCGUCACCGCCUGCUACCUCCACCUUCCCGACUACGCAAGACUUGGCCGGGCCGGCGAGGUGAGCUGGAGUGUUGCACCUCAGUCCAACGUUUGCCCCGACGGCUGGGGGUUGUGGCUCAGUGUCUGGGCCGCGCAGCACGCCAACGUUUGUUUACCUCACCACCUCCUCCUCCUCCUCCUCCCAAGGACUACUACUGCCAGCUCGUUGCUCACUACUGCUCGCGUGUCUAUCUCCAGUGAAUGAAACUCUGUGAACUAUUUUAACAAGAUAUACCAAGAUAUUUUUUUCUUCAUAUUUAUGAGUGAAAGCCAAAGCACAGUCUGUAUGUAUUUAUAUUUUAUGACGAAGAGCUCGUCAGCUUAAUUAACUUAUACUGCACGUUUAUAGUACAAAUUACAAGGGGGCUAUUAAGUGAAGGAAAGAGACAAAGGUGAGGUGUCUUGUGGUACGCUGAAGAGUGUUGGUGGUACUGAAAUACGGUACAUUCUUUAACAGGGACGUGUCAGGAGGCGCACACUCUACCUCUCUACAACGGGUCCUUAAUCUACACCCGAGAGAGAGAGAGAGAGAGAGAGACAACUGAAGUGACGCGGCGAGUGUUUGUCAGUCGGGAGGCAGCAGAGGUUGUCGACUCCCUCACCUCGCCAAGAUGGUGUUACAGAACCUCAAGCUGUACCGCCUUCAGAGGCUUAACACAUUCCAGCGCCUCAACUUCAUGUCUAUCCAGGACCCCAUCCCCGAGCACAAAGAAAGGUGUUGCAUAUACCACAGCGGGAACAUCAGAUGUUGUAUCUACCACCAGAACAACACAGCUGACGGGUAAACAAACACUUCAUAUCCUAAGCAUCUGUCUUACCUGCCCUGACCCGUCUUAACGAACGAGGUCAUUAGAUAGUUG